UACAGAGGGUGCGAGCGUUGUCCGGAAUCAUUGGGCGUAAAGGGCGCGUAGGCGGCCUGACAAGUCGGGGGUGAAAUCCUGUGGCUUAACUGCAGGGCUGCCUCCUAGACUGUUAGGCUCGAGCACGGUAGAGGCAGAUGGAAUUCCCGGUGUAGCGGUGGAAUGCGUAGAGAUCGGGAAGAACAUCGGUGGCGAAGGCGGUCUGCUGGGCCGUUGCUGACGCUGAGGCGCGACAGCGUGGGGAGCAAACAGG
rnacentral:rRNA from 1 species